ACUAGCGGUCUGGAAAGUUACUGAGUGAGGGAAAAGGCAAUCACUUGGUUGUGGUCACUGAUAAGGCUGGAUAGCUGUGGAUUAGUGAGGAAUGUAGCCAAGGUCAGGUCAGGUCAGAUGAAGUGAGAAGGAACAGUUUUAUUACACACAUCACAUAACUUCCUGCCUUGCAACAGAGUUGUAUUGGCUGUCUAGAUGUGCAAGGAGGAGAAUGCGCCUAAUAGUAGGGUAUAAAUACUUGUGCUGGUGGAAACCUGUUGCUGUCUUUUCAGCUGUUUGACCCAUUGGGUGAAUAAAUUUGGUUUGAGCUUUGACUAGUCUGUUAGAUUCUGCAGAUGACAGUUGGUGUUGUUGGCAGGAUUCACCACGAUUUACAGUAGAACCGGAGAGUCCGAAUCAAGAUUGGGGGGUGACAUCGAGUCAAUAAUUGUCACGGAUCCCCUGGUAAUGCUGCUCAUUCCGUUCACCAGCUCCGGAGGUCUACGUCACCGGCCUUCUAGACGUCACUAAACUGGAUUCAUUACCACCAACCGCAGACUGUCUUGUCUGAUUACGCACACCUGGAUCCCAUUCCCCCUGAUUAGUAUGUGUAUAUAUGUGCCCUCUGUUCCCCAUCGUCCUUGUCCAUUGGUCUUGUGAGUACCUGUGCUCUGUUGUAUCGGCUUUCAUGCUACGUGUUUGUGCACUAGAGGUUUUAGGUUAGAGGUUUACACCUCACUCUUUUAUUUGGGUUACAUCCCUGUGUUAUAUAUAUAUACAGUACGUGUUUGUUUUGGGCUUCGUCCCCAUCAUUUUCAUGACAUACUUUAUUUUGGGUGGAGAAAUAAAAAAAACUAUUACGUA